rnacentral:rRNA from 1 species
CCCCGGUAAACGGCGGCCGUAACUAUAACGGUCCUAAGGUAGCGAAAUUCCUUGUCGGGUAAGUUCCGACCUGCACGAAUGGCGUAAUGAUGGCCAGGCUGUCUCCACCCGAGACUCAGUGAAAUUGAACUCGCUGUGAAGAUGCAGUGUACCCGCGGCAAGACGGAAAGACCCCGUGAACCUUUACUAUAGCUUGACACUGAACAUUGAGCCUUGAUGUGUAGGAUAGGUGGGAGGCUUUGAAGUGUGGACGCCAGUCUGCAUGGAGCCGACCUUGAAAUACCACCCUUUAAUGUUUGAUGUUCUAACGUGGACCCGUAAUCCGGGUUGCGGACAGUGUCUGGUGGGUAGUUUGACUGGGGCGGUCUCCUCCUAAAGAGUAACGGAGGAGCACGAAGGUUGGCUAAUCCUGGUCGGACAUCAGGAGGUUAGUGCAAUGGCAUAAGCCAGCUUGACUGCGAGCGUGACGGCGCGAGCAGGUGCGAAAGCAGGUCAUAGUGAUCCGGUGGUUCUGAAUGGAAGGGCCAUCGCUCAACGGAUAAAAGGUACUCCGGGGAUAACAGGCUGAUACCGCCCAAGAGUUCAUAUCGACGGCGGUGUUUGGCACCUCGAUGUCGGCUCAUCACAUCCUGGGGCUGAAGUAGGUCCCAAGGGUAUGGCUGUUCGCCAUUUAAAGUGGUACGCGAGCUGGGUUUAGAACGUCGUGAGACAGUUCGGUCCCUAUCUGCCGUGGGCGCUG